CCUACGGGAGGCAGCAGUGAGGAAUAUUGCGCAAUGGGCGAAAGCCUGACGCAGCAACGCCGCGUGAGGGAUGAAGGCCUUCGGGUUGUAAACCUCUUUUCUGGGGAACGAGAUCAGGACGGUACCUCGGGAAUAAGUCUCGGCUAACUACGUGCCAGCAGCCGCGGUAAAACGUAGGAGGCGAGCGUUAUCCGGAUUUACUGGGCGUAAAGCGCACGCAGGCGGCUUCGUUAGUCGGAUGUGAAAGCUCCUGGCUUAACGGGGAGAGGCCAUUCGAUACUGCGGGGCUGGAGAUUGGGAGAGGGGUGCGAAAUUCCCGGUGUAGUGGUGGAAUGCGUAGAUAUCGGGAGGAACACCAGUGGCGAAGGCGGCCUUCUGGUCUGCCCCUGACACGCAGGCGCGAAAGCGUGGGGAGCAAACAGGAUUAGAUCCCCCGGUAGU
rnacentral:rRNA from 1 species